rnacentral:rRNA from 1 species
GUCUGGAAAGGCGUGCGAUACAGGGUGACAGCCCCGUACACAAAAAUGCACAUAUUGUGAGCUCGAUGAGUAGGGCGGGACACGUGGUAUCCUGUCUGAAUAUGGGGGGACCAUCCUCCAAGGCUAAAUACUCCUGACUGACCGAUAGUGAACCAGUACCGUGAGGGAAAGGCGAAAAGAACCCCGGCGAGGGGAGUGAAAAAGAACCUGAAACCGUGUACGUACAAGCAGUGGGAGCCUCUUAAUGGGGUGACUGCGUACCUUUUGUAUAAUGGGUCAGCGACUUAUAUUCUGUAGCAAGGUUAACCGAAUAGGGGAGCCGAAGGGAAACCGAGUCUUAACUGGGCGUUAAGUUGCAGGGUAUAGACCCGAAACCCGGUGAUCUAGCCAUGGGCAGGUUGAAGGUUGGGUAACACUAACUGGAGGACCGAACCGACUAAUGUUGAAAAAUUAGCGGAUGACUUGUGGCUGGGGGUGAAAGGCCAAUCAAACCGGGAGAUAGCUGGUUCUCCCCGAAAGCUAUUUAGGUAGCGCCUCGUGAAUUCAUCUCCGGGGGUAGAGCACUGUUUCGGCAAGGGGGUCAUCCCGACUUACCAACCCGAUGCAAACUGCGAAUACCGGAGAAUGUUAUCACGGGAGACACACGGCGGGUGCUAACGUCCGUCGUGAAGAGGGAAACAACCCAGACCGCCAGCUAAGGUCCCAAAGUCAUGGUUAAGUGGGAAACGAUGUGGGAAGGCCCAGACAGCCAGGAUGUUGGCUUAGAAGCAGCCAUCAUUUAAAGAAAGCGUAAUAGCUCACUGGUCGAGUCGGCCUGCGCGGAAGAUGUAACGGGGCUAAACCAUGCACCGAAGCUGCGGCAGCGACACUAUGUGUUGUUGGGUAGGGGAGCGUUCUGUAAGCCUGUGAAGGUGGCCUGUGAGGGUUGCUGGAGGUAUCAGAAGUGCGAAUGCUGACAUAAGUAACGAUAAAGCGGGUGAAAAGCCCGCUCGCCGGAAGACCAAGGGUUCCUGUCCAACGUUAAUCGGGGCAGGGUGAGUCGACCCCUAAGGCGAGGCCGAAAGGCGUAGUCGAUGGGAAACAGGUUAAUAUUCCUGUACUUGGUGUUACUGCGAAGGGGGGACGGAGAAGGCUAUGUUGGCCGGGCGACGGUUGUCCCGGUUUAAGCGUGUAGGCUGGUUUUCCAGGCAAAUCCGGAAAACCAAGGCUGAGGCGUGAUGACGAGGCACUACGGUGCUGAAGCGACAAAUGCCCUGCUUCCAGGAAAAGCCUCUAAGCAUCAGGUAACAUCAAAUCGUACCCCAAACCGACACAGGUGGUCAGGUAGAGAAUACCAAGGCGCUUGAGAGAACUCGGGUGAAGGAACUAGGCAAAAUGGUGCCGUAACUUCGGGAGAAGGCACGCUGAUAUGUAGGUGAAGCGACUUGCUCGUGGAGCUGAAAUCAGUCGAAGAUACCAGCUGGCUGCAACUGUUUAUUAAAAACACAGCACUGUGCAAACACGAAAGUGGACGUAUACGGUGUGACGCCUGCCCGGUGCCGGAAGGUUAAUUGAUGGGGUUAGCGGUAACG